rnacentral:rRNA from 1 species
GCUGGCGGCGUGCCUAAUACAUGCAAGUCGAGCGAAUGGAUUAAGAGCUUGCUCUUAUGAAGUUAGCGGCGGACGGGUGAGUAACACGUGGGUAACCUGCCCAUAAGACUGGGAUAACUCCGGGAAACCGGGGCUAAUACCGGAUAACAUUUUGAACCGCAUGGUUCGAAAUUGAAAGGCGGCUUCGGCUGUCACUUAUGGAUGGACCCGCGUCGCAUUAGCUAGUUGGUGAGGUAACGGCUCACCAAGGCAACGAUGCGUAGCC